rnacentral:lncRNA from 1 species
UGCUGCAUCUCUACUGCUACUUGAGACCCUUCUCGACUGUAUUCUCUGGUUCUGUUUCGCCACAGGACCCUUUAAAAUCCUAAAAUCCUUUCUGGAUCGAAGAACCACUUCUGAUCGGACUCCAGAUGCUUCACGGCCGUCCGAUCAGCACCCCAGUCUCUUCAGUUGCUUGAUCGCACUCGAUCAAGCUUCAUCAGACCCAUAUCAUGCCCGCA